ensembl:lncRNA
AAAACCAGGGCGCAAAAACCAGGGCGCAAAAACCAGGGCGCAAAAACCAGGGCGCAAAAACCAGGGCGCAAAAAACCAGGGCGCAAAACCAGGGCGCAAAAACCAGGGCGCAAAAACCAGGGCGCAAAAACCAGGGGCAAAAACCAGAGCGCAAAAACCAGGGCGCAAAAACCAGGGCGCAAAAACCAGGGCGCAAAAACCAGGGCGCAAAAACCAGGGCGCAAAAACCAGGGCGCAAAAAAAAACCAGGGCGCAAAAACCAGGGCGCAAAAACCAGGGCGCAAAAACCAGGGCGCAAAAACCAGGGCGCAAAAACCAGGGCGCAAAAACCAGGGCGCAAAAACCAGGGCGCAAAAACCAGGGCGCAAAAACCAGGGCGCAAAAACCCACAACACACACACACAAAACAAGUAGGAAAACUUACGGAAAAAAACACAAACAAAAAGACACACAAAAAAGAAGAAAAAAAAACAAGCACAGAGAAAAGCAAAGACAGAGAAAGCAAAGACAUCCAAUGCAAUAUCAAGGCAAAGCAAAGGAUUCAAAGAAAGAAAGGGGGAGAAAAAUAGGCUAACCAAAGCAAAAACAAGUCAGUAAGAGGAUAAAAACAGACCAUGACAAAUCAAGCAAAGGGAAUAAAAGAGAACAAGCAAAGUAAAAAUUAAAACAAAAGCAAAGCAAAAUAACUGACAAGCAAUGCAAAGCAAUGGUAGGAAAGCAUUACAAAAGAGCAAACCCGAGCAAAGCAAUGGAAGAAAGAAAAGAACAAAGAAUAAAAUGAACAGGAGUAAUCUAAGGAAAGAAAAAACAUAAUGGCAUAAAACAAGCUACAAAGAAAAAUCCAACAGAAUUGAAGAAAACGGUGGAAAGCACAGGUAAGGAAAACAAAGAAAAGUAAGGGAAAUAAAAAAAGGAAAGCAAAAAAAUGACAGCCAAAGCCAAAGCCAAAGCCAAAGCCAAAGCCAAAGCCAAAGCCAAAGCCAAAGCCAAAACCACCAAGUAAGGAUCAAGGAAACAAAGGAAAGCGAACCAAUGGCAAAAGAGAUGAUCAACAGCACAAAAGCUGAUGAGACAACAGCCUGGAGGCUUCGACUGGCAGCCAGCCAGAGCACAUCCCAGCACAGAUGACAUCAGCCGCGCCCCUGCAGCCUUUAUGCUGUCACAGUGCGUUUCCGUGACGACAAAGGGCCCUCCCCAAGGACAGCUGGCAGCUGGGUCCAGGCACCUCAGCUGUGAGCUGCGCUCCAAACAACCGCUCGCCAUGCCCUGGGCCUCAGAGCAGCCCCAGCAGCAGACAAGCUCAGCCUCAUCCCGUUCGGGGUUCUGGUGAAGUAUGACCGGUGAGUGGGAUUGCUAAGAGCUGAGAGUUCCCCUUUUGGGCUACACUUUAGGGGGAAGGCUUCCCAGCUUGGCUUGCGCUCAAGGGUUACGUGUCAAGCAUUCUGUGUUUGGGGAAGCUCUCAAGGUUACCCUUUUAAAAGGGGUAGGGGGAAGCAUUCAGGCUACCGGCUUGGGGUUUGUGUUAACAGCUUCCCACCAGGGUUAGGCUUCAGUGUUAGCAGUUUGGGUUAAGGGUUAUGCUGUUACGGAAGGGUAAAGGUCUCCAUGCUGGAUUAAGGGAUAAGAGUUACGGGGUACCCUUCUCGGUUUGGUUUCACGGUUGCCCUACUGGAUUAGAAUUAGGAGUUAAGGGUUUCCCAUUUGAGGACAGGCUUUAGGAUUAAGGGAUACCCUUUGGCAUUAGGCUUCAGAUUUACCUUUUCCGGCUGGUCUGAAUGGUUAGCAUUUUGUGUUAGCGAUAAGUGUGAAGGGUUACCCAUUUGUGUGACGUAUAAGAGUUCCCAUAGUCGUAGACAUCUGUAGGAAUAUUCAUAGGAAAACAAAAUAACGGAAAGAAAAAAACGGCAAAGAAUACAGUGGUAAAAAGAGAAAACACAGGAAAGCAAAGCAAAAAAUGAGGUAAGGAAAGGGAAAAAAAAAAAACAAAUGACGACAUCCCAAGGAAAAACACAGAAAACUGAAAUCAACCAUAACUAAAAAACUAAAAUAACUACCAAGGAAAGAAUCAAAAAAGCAAACCAAAGAAAAAGCAAAGCAAAACGAUACAAGAAAUACAAGGAAAAAACAACGACAUAAAAUGUAAUACCGUAGCAAAUCAAAGAAUUCAAACGAAGGAAGUGGCAAAAAACAUAAGCUAACUGAAGCAUAACAAUGUAAAGGAAAAAAAAACAGACAAAAAAACAAGCAAAGGGGAUAAAAGAGAACAACCA